CAUGAAGAGGCUGAAGGUGCAGCUGAAGAGGCCAAAGGAUGCUAACCGCCCCUACUGAAGCAUUGUGGGAAACUCUGGAUAAGCAAGGUCUAGCACAGAGCCAGUCAAAUCCACCACAGUCUCGCGCUGAGCUAGGAAAAAAGUUCACGUAAUGACAGGAAAGUGGAGAAUACAGUCCCCCAGUCCGGCAUCAGCUGAAUGGGCCACAUUUAGAGAAAUAUAUAUAUAUAUAUUAAAUAAAUAUAUAUAGGAACGAGAACUGUUGGAUUACACCUUUAACAUAUCAGCAAAUAUCAGUCAAGCUGAAGACUUCAGACUUACUCUCUUUCUGAUUGUUUAGACUGUACCAUUUCUUUAAGAAAAGUCACGUCAGCUGGGUUCGAAAGGACAUAAGCUUGAAACAGAAACAUAAAUAACAACAACAACAACAAAACCACAGACAAAAUCACGACAGGAGCAAGAUCGUCUAGGAUUUCUGCAGUGAAACUGAUGUUACCACAGCGGCUUUUCUCCAAACAGGAAAUGCAAACCUUGAUACUGACAAGAGGAGUGCCUGUUUGCCACCAAGGAUGCAGUUGCUAUGGAAACCCCAUGGCACCAGUCACUAAGCAUCUUUAUCUGUCAUUCCUUAGCUAUAUAGGGACCAAAGGACAUAACUUUUUAUCGCAGACUUGUAGCUGUAUGUAAAUUACAGAAGUUCUUUCCUUUUCUCAUGAGCUGUUCCUAUAACAGGUUUUGAGAGCAAUUAUAUGAAAUAUGUAAAAACUAAAAAAAAAACAACCGCUUAAACGCUUUUAAAAAAAAUGGCAAGAUAAUAGUUCUUUGAUACUUGGGGAGGAUCUUUGGUUAUACAUUAAUUAAGAGUCUAUGAAACUUUCGUAUGGUUUUCUGUAUAAUAUGUAUGGAUUGAGUGCUUAGAAGGGGAAGGUUGAGGUGGGUAUCUGGAAAGCAGACAAAGGAAAAGGAGAAACCCACAAAAAUAAGCAGAUCACUGGACUGGAAAGUGAUGGUGAUGAUGAUGAUGAUGAUGAUGAUGAAGAAGAAGGCGCAGAAGACGAAGACAAGAAGGCUGAUGCAAAGUAGAAAGAACACAAGUUUGUAAAUGCUUCUGACUCCACCCGCCCUAAAAUAGCUGUACAGAAUUUAAAAAAGAAAAAAAAGUUUAAAAUACCUAUAUAAUAGGGGGGAAAGGAUUAGAUGACAUAAAAAAGCAAAAAUAAAAAAAAUAAAAAAGCAAAAAAAAUAUACAUAGAGGUUAGCAUUAAUGCUAAAAAAAAAAAAAUCCACAAAGAUGUUGUAGAACUGUAACUUUUGUAGAGUUUAGAAUGAAAUCAGUUCCUGCUCUCAGCCAACUGCUGUUGGAAGCUGUGUCUUAUUGGGGGUGGGGGGAAGGGGGGGCAAAGGAGAAGAUGGCUGAUCUCGGCAGCUUUUUAAACUGCAAGCAUUCCAGCUAGUAAUAAAUAAAUAAAACUAAUAAGCAAACGAAACAAAACAAAAAAAUCUCAAUUCCUGUAGGCAACGCAAAGGGGGGCGGGGGACUUGACGGCUAUCUUCUUGCAGACUAUCGGAAGUUAGUUCGAACUUGACGAAAAAAUAAAUAAACUGGAAAAAGAAAACCACAGCUAAGACGCUUUCAUGUUUCCAUAAGCUGUCGCCAGCAACCUCCAAUCAUCUUUCGCUUCAGUAGCUUCCAUAUUUGCUCUAGAACCCUUCAGGACGGGGGUGGGGUGGGAGCGGGGUUUAGCCUAGAACCUUAAUCUUAAAAAAAAAACCACAAAAAACAUUUAAAAAAAAAUAUUUAAAACACAAAAACAAAAAACAAAAAAAAUUACAAAAAUGCAAUCUCUUUGAAGAAUUUCUGAAACUGUUUACAAGGAAUUUUGAAAAACAGGGGGAUGUUUAAAAAUAAAAGAUGCUGGCUCUGUUUUUCUGUAAAUAAAUUUGCAUAUUUUGUAGGACUUUUAAUUGUAAUGAUAGAGAAAAAAAAUCAAGGAAAACUAUUUAAGGAAAGCACGAUAUUUAUCUUUGGUAAAUGACUUUAGAGCAGUUUAAAAAAAAGUUGCUUUAAAAUCUGAAUCAGAAAAAUAGAAACAAUGAAUUAUUUAAGAACACAUAUAUUUUAAAGUAUAUCAUAUUUAUUAUAAUUUAUUUCCACUGUGUUAAAACUUGAUUUUUAAGGGUGUGUUUUUUCCCCUUUACUCCAUUUUAUUGGACCGAGAACAACGACACUGUUCUUUUACGAAUAAUUGUUUGCCUUUUCGUUCAGAUUUGGGGGAUUUCUUAUUUUGUUUUUUAAAGAAACUGUUCUCUGUCUUUCUCCCUGUUGGGCCUGAUUUUGAAGUCUUUAUACUGGCUAAACACCCCCCUGGUCUUCUCUGGUUGUUUGGCUGGGUUGAGACCACUGAAACAAGCCCCUAAUCUAGGUGUGUAAAUGACUUCGCAGUUCCAUACAACUGCUCUCUGAUUCUCAAUUCCCUAAAACUCCUUGUAAUCUUCUGUAAUUAUUGAAUGACGCUUACCAGCUUAGCCCUAAAUAAAGCACAGUUUA